AUCAAAAACAUCGCCUUUUGACUACUAUAAAAGGUAACGCCUGCCCAGUGACUAUAUGUUCAACGGCUGCGGUAUUCUGACCGUACGAAGGUAGCGUAAUCGGUCGCCUGUUUUAUCAAAAACAUAGCCUUAAGGUAAUAUUUAAGGUAAGCCCUGCCCAGUGGAAGUAUCUAAACGGCCGCAGUACCCUGACUGUGCUAAGGUAGCGUAAUAAGUUGGCUUUUAAAUGGAGUCGAGAAUGAACGGGGCCAUGGGAAGAAACUGUCUCUUUUUUAAUUUAAUGAAUUUGCUGAAUAGGUGAAAAUACCUUUAAAAAGAAAAUAGACGAGAAGACCCUUAGAGCCUUCACAAUAAUUUAUUUAAUUGUUUUUGUUGGGGCGACAAGAAGACAUAUAACUCUUCUGUAUUACUAAACGAUUUUUAUAUAUAUGAAUAGGCUACCUUAGGGAUAACAGCAUAAUUAUUUAUAGUUUGUGACCUCGAUGUUGGACUAGGAACUUGAUGACUAGUAGUCAAAAAAGGAAGUUCUGUUCGAACUCUUAAAUUCCUACGUGAUCUGAGUUCAGACMGGAGCUCCACUUACGACCUCGAUGUUGGAUUAGGGCAUCCUAGUGGUGCAACCAUUACUAAAGGWUCGUUUGUUCAACGAUUAAAGCCCUACGUGAUCUGAGUUCAGA
rnacentral:rRNA from 1 species